rnacentral:lncRNA from 1 species
GAUUUUGCACCCUCCUCUUUCUUUUUCUUCUUCUUUUUUUUUAUGCCCCAGUUGGCUGUUCUGCUGAUUCUCGAGAUGCAGCUGAGUGAUCUUCUUUUCUUGCUCAAGAAGUCGGGAAAUCUCGUCAGGAAUCCUUUCAACAUCAUCUUCUUCCGCUUCGAAUACAGGGAAUUCAAAAUUGGGAGAUGGCGUUGGAUCAUUAUGUUCAAUGGGUUUAAGAAUCAACCUGCAUAAUGAUUUUGAGUAUGAAAAGCUUUUUGGAAAUCAAAC